UACGAAGGGGGCUAGCGUUGCUCGGAAUCACUGGGCGUAAAGCGCACGUAGGCGGAUUGCUAAGUCAGGGGUGAAAUCCUGGGAGCUCAACUCCAGAACUGCCUUUGAUACUGGCGAUCUCGAGUCCGGGAGAGGUGAGUGGAACUGCGAGUGUAGAGGUGAAAUUCGUAGAUAUUCGCAAGAACACCAGUGGCGAAGGCGGACUCACUGGCCCCGGUACUGACGCU
rnacentral:rRNA from 1 species